rnacentral:tRNA from 1 species
GCCCGGCUAGCUCAAUCGGUAGAGCGUGAGACUCUUACCAAAGGGAUCACAUCUCAAGGUUGUGGGUUCGACCCCCACGUCGGGCU